rnacentral:lncRNA from 1 species
AUCUGGAGGUGGGGCAUGCUUUAGAGACAGGAAACUGAACACAUCCUGAAAUGAAAGGGAGUGUGAGCCUUCUAGGAAGUGAGAGAAAUUCAGUGGGUCCAGAAGGAAGUUAUAAGUGUUGGGGCUGGAGAGCUUGGAGUGCCCUCAGUUCUAAGAUCCAAACGUGUCUGGAAUUGGUGGGUUCUUGGUCUCACUGACUUCAAGAAUGAAGCCACAGACUCUCGCGCAACUCAAGCAUCCCAACCUUGUUAACCUCCUGGAAGUCUUCAGGAGGAAACGGAGGCUUCACCUGGUGUUUGAAUAUUGUGACCACACAGUUCUCCAUGAGUUGGACAGAUACCAAAGAGGGGUACCAGAACAUCUCGUGAAGAGCAUAACUUGGCAGACACUGCAAGCUGUAAAUUUUUGCCAUAAACACAAUUGCAUACAUAGAGACGUGAAGCCAGAAAAUAUCCUCAUCACGAAACAUUCCGUGAUUAAGCUUUGUGACUUUGGAUUUGCUCGGCUUUUGACUGGACCGAGUGACUACUAUACAGACUACGUGGCUACCAGGUGGUACCGCUCCCCUGAGCU